AGGGCCCUCCAUGCAAGCGCCUUCCUCACUUUAAGGUCGGACGAGUUGACCCACGAGCCCAGGGCGGAGGGUCGUCAGCAUCACCUGGUCAGGUGUGGUUCCUGAUAUAAAAGUUCAACACAAGGAGACCUAUCUUUCCUCACGGGCGCGGCUGCUGUUUUCUUCUGUCUGUUGGAAACAUUUUCAGACAUCCACACGUUUACAUGACUGAUUACUACUGUUAGGAAGGUUACCUGUGAAAUGUAAUACAUUAUGUAACUAUUUAUAUUACUUCAUCAAAGUUAAUGGUAAAUGGACAAUUACAGUUAUUUUGAAAUGUAGUUAUUUAACUUUGCUACAUGUUACUAGUUACUCCCCAACACUGCUUUCACGUUUGUUCCGUGUGUUAAUAAAGAAAUGUAUUUAUUAGUUAUUAA